UCUUGAUGUAACCUUGCUGUAGCCAUUGCUGUAAUGUGCCAGGUGUACUUGCAAUAAUCAGAGAAAGUGCGCCAACGUCAAAUCACACAGAGGGAGAGAGAGCACAACUCCUGGCUGCAGCUGAAGGAGGACGAUUGAUUUCUGGCAGUUCGUCUUACCAUUGCUUGUAAGCUGGAUUGGGUAAGAUGGAUCAUCUUUAAAGGCACCAGGAGUUAAGGCAGAUGUGGAGGCACAACGGGUGAUACCAGACACACACCAAGCACAUUAUGUUUGGACAUUCAAUCAUGACAUGAUCCAGGUGGAUGCUGUCCAUUGAGGAAAGUUUGUUCAGCGGUUUCUGGAUAGAAUUAAUUCCAAAGAUGGGAAAAAGUGCACAUCCAGACAAGGAGCAAGCAAAAAGACAAGGAACUUGGUGCAGAGAAAAGCUGUGGCCAUUAACCCCUGUGAACAGCUUCAUGCAGUCGCUGAUUGAGUUCGAAUGGACGACUUCAAAGUAAAGGCCACUGUGGUCUGUCUGCCACAGUUUAAUUUUUAAUUUAUUUUUAGUGUUCAAUGAAAUUCAAGUAGAAUAUUUAAAACUAUGGGCCAGUGUUGUUUUUACCACAGUGAAAUGUUACCUUUUAGUCGAUGAUGGACUUUAAACUGAAAACUUCAAACUAUGGAACAGUGUUCUAUUUGCCAGAGUUAAAUAUGUUACAGCAGGGGUCUCCAAACUUGUUUAUACUUGUUGAUUUUAUUUUAUGUUACUUGAUUAUAUGUUUAUUAUUGUUUAAAAUCUUGUUUUAAAUAUGUUUGUUUCAAUUAAAUGUUUUUUUUAAUAAAAUUUUGAUACAAACAUUGCUUGGAUUGCCUUUUAAUUCAUUAUGUUUUAAUUUAGCAUUUUUACCAUAUUAAUAACUAUAGAUUUAAACCUAAAUCUCUAGCUAUUUUAUAUAAUAUUAUUGUAUUAACUGUAAUAAGUAAUAAAUAGUAUUUAUGGGUCAAUAUAGACAUUACAGUAAAUUACUGUAAAAAUAGACUACUGUAAUAAAAUAUUGUAAAAUUACAGUACAGUACUGCUUUGUAACUAUACAGUACUAGUUUGUGUACUGUAAAAUGGUAUUACAGUACAGUACUGUAAAACCAAAAUACAGUAACUUACUGGCAACC